rnacentral:rRNA from 1 species
ACGCUGGCGGCAGGCCUAACACAUGCAAGUCGAGCGGAAACGACAACAUUGAAUCUUCGGAGGAUUURAUGGGCGUCGAGCGGCGGACGGGUGAGUAAUGCCUAGGAAAUUGCCUUGAUGUGGGGGAUAACCAUUGGAAACGAUGGCUAAUACCGCAUAAUGCCUACGGGCCAAAGAGGGGGACCUUCGGGCCUCUCGCGUCAAGAUAUGCCUAGGUGGGAUUAGCUAGUUGGUGAGGUAAUGGCUCACCAAGGCGACGAUCCCUAGCUGGUCUGAGAGGAUGAUCAGCCACACUGGAACUGAGACACGGUCCAGACUCCUACGGGAGGCAGCAGUGGGGAAUAUUGCACAAUGGGCGAAAGCCUGAUGCAGCCAUGCCGCGUGUAUGAAGAAGGCCUUCGGGUUGUAAAGUACUUUCAGUUGUGAGGAAGGGGGUAACGUUAAUAGCGUUAUCUCUUGACGUUAGCAACAGAAGAAGCACCGGCUAACUCCGUGCCAGCAGCCGCGGUAAUACGGAGGGUGCGAGCGUUAAUCGGAAUUACUGGGCGUAAAGCGCAUGCAGGUGGUUCAUUAAGUCAGAUGUGAAAGCCCGGGGCUCAACCUCGGAACUGCAUUUGAAACUGGUGAACUAGAGUGCUGUAGAGGGGGGUAGAAUUUCAGGUGUAGCGGUGAAAUGCGUAGAGAUCUGAAGGAAUACCAGUGGCGAAGGCGGCCCCCUGGACA